rnacentral:rRNA from 1 species
UACGAAGGGGGCUAGCGUUGUUCGGAAUCACUGGGCGUAAAGCGCACGUAGGCGGAUUUUUAAGUCAGGGGUGAAAGCCUGGAGCUCAACUCCAGAACUGCCUUUGAUACUGGAAGUCUAGAGUUCGGAAGAGGUUGGUGGAACUGCGAGUGUAGAGGUGAAAUUCGUAGAUAUUCGCAAGAACACCAGUGGCGAAGGCGGCCAACUGGUCCGAUACUGACGCUGAGGUGCGAAAGCGUGGGGAGCAAACAGG